CGAGAAAAUCGGCUUGUUGCUCCGAAUUUUUUUUCGGGGAGGAAAGUCCGGACACCAAAGAGCAGCAAAUCGGAUAACAUCCGCCGUUCGCGAGAACAGGACCAGUGCAACAGAAAGCAAGUACAGUUCGGCUGUAGUGAAAUCGGGUAAACUCUUUGCGGUGCAAUGAUAAGUAUAUCGGUGUUUUUCAGAAAUGAAAAUAGGAGUUGCUCGCUCCGAAAACCGAGGGGUAAUCAGCUAAAGUUUUGCAGCAAUGUAAAACGCAGAUAAAUAACAAGCUUCUCAUUUUUAAUGGGAAACAGAAUCCGGCUUACAGAUUUUCUCGUGGA
rnacentral:RNase_P_RNA from 1 species